GAAAUUUGGAACCAAAUCCGGAAAGGGGGAAACCAGAAGCUUCGAUCUCCUGUCAAAGCCAAUUUGUCCAGCGAAGGUGAUUUCUUGCGCGCGAAACUUGAUUCCAAGGGAAAGGAUAUAGUUGAGACUUAAGCGCUUUGAGGUUGAGCGGCGACGAGCGGUUGGCGGUGUGGAGCAAAUUAAAUGAAGAAUUAAACAUUUAUAUAUAUAUAUAUAUUUUUUACUAUGAGUGUCGUUGUGUCUUCACACAUGACGUAACUUUUCUCUUGGAUGCUUCCGCUGAAACUCGUUUUACUUAUUGUUGAAUUCUCG